rnacentral:rRNA from 1 species
UAUCUUGACCGUAGUAAGGUAGCAUAAUAAAUUGUUUUUUAAUUGAAAACUGGAAUGAAAGGCUACACAAUUUACAGACAUACAAGACCUAAUCCAUGAAUUUUUACUAUAAGUAAAAAUACUUAUAUAUUAUAAAGGGACGAUAAGACCCUAGAAGCUUUAGUUUUAUCUACAUAAAGUAGUCAUAUUUAGUUCUUAUGUGAUUAAUAACUUUGGUUGGGGAAACAAAAAUUUUUAAAAUAAUUUUAUAGUGUAAUAAGUCUUGUUAUUUUAAGAUCUUUUAAAUAAAAACGAGUGGAAAAAGUUACUCUAGGGAUAACAGCGUAAUAGUUUUGGUUAGGCCAUAUAUAUAAAAUUGUUUGCGACCUCGAUGUUGAAUUAAAAUUUCUUUAUAAAGUAGGUAUUAUAUAAGAGGGUUUGUUCAACCCUUAAAAUUUUACAUGAUUUGAGUUCAGACCGGUUUAAGCCAGGUCGGUUUCUAUCUUUUAUUAAAAUUAAAUUUUUUUAGUACGAAAGGACCAAAAUAUUUUAAUAAUU